rnacentral:rRNA from 1 species
CCCCUAGUAACUGCGAGUGAAGCGGGAAAAGCUCAAAUUUAAAAUCUGGCGGUCUUUGGCCGUCCGAGUUGUAGUCUGGAGAAGCGUCUUCCGCGCUGGACCGUGUAUAAGUCUCUUGGAACAGAGCGUCAUAGAGGGUGAGAAUCCCGUCUUUGACACGGACUACCAGUGCUUUGUGAUGCGCUCUCAAAGAGUCGAGUUGUUUGGGAAUGCAGCUCAAAAUGGGUGGUGAAUUCCAUCUAAAGCUAAAUAUUGGCGAGAGACCGAUAGCGAACAAGUACCGUGAGGGAAAGAUGAAAAGCACUUUGGAAAGAGAGUUAAACAGUACGUGAAAUUGCUGAAAGGGAAACGCUUGAAGUCAGUCGCGUUGUCCGGGACUCAGCCUUGCUUCGGCUUGGUGCACUUUCCGGAUGACGGGCCAGCAUCGAUUUUGACCGCUGGAAAAGGGCUGGAGGAAUGUGGCACCUUCGGGUGUGUUAUAGCCUCCAGUCGCAUACGGCGGUUGGGAUCGAGGAACGCAGCACGCCUCGUGGCGGGGGGUUUACCCUACCUUCGUGCUUAGGAUGCUGGCAUAAUGGCUUUAAACGACCCGUCUUGAAACACGGACCAAGGAGUCUAACAUGCCUGCGAGUGUUUGGGUGGAAAACCCGAGCGCGUAAUGAAAGUGAAAGUUGAGACCUCUGUCGUGGAGGGCAUCGACGCCCGGACCUGACGUUCUCUGACGGAUCCGCGGUAGAGCAUGUAUGUUGGGACCCGAAAGAUGGUGAACUAUGCCUGAAUAGGGUGAAGCCAGAGGAAACUCUGGUGGAGGCUCGUAGCGAUUCUGACGUGCAAAUCGAUCGUCAAAUUUGGGUAUAGGGGCG